CCUGGCUCAGGAUGAACGCUAGCUACAGGCUUAACACAUGCAAGUCGAGGGGCAGCAUGGUCUUAGCUUGCUAAGGCCGAUGGCGACCGGCGCACGGGUGAGUAACACGUAUCCAACCUGCCGUCUACUCUUGGACAGCCUUCUGAAAGGAAGAUUAAUACAAGAUGGCAUCAUGAGUCCGCAUGUUCACAUGAUUAAAGGUAUUCCGGUAGACGAUGGGGAUGCGUUCCAUUAGAUAGUAGGCGGGGUAACGGCCCACCUAGUCUUCGAUGGAUAGGGGUUCUGAGAGGAAGGUCCCCCACAUUGGAACUGAGACACGGUCCAAACUCCUACGGGAGGCAGCAGUGAGGAAUAUUGGUCAAUGGGCGAGAGCCUGAACCAGCCAAGUAGCGUGAAGGAUGACUGCCCUAUGGGUUGUAAACUUCUUUUAUAAAGGAAUAAAGUCGGGUAUGGAUACCCGUUUGCAUGUACUUUAUGAAUAAGGAUCGGCUAACUCCGUGCCAGCAGCCGCGGUAAUACGGAGGAUCCGAGCGUUAUCCGGAUUUAUUGGGUUUAAAGGGAGCGUAGAUGGAUGUUUAAGUCAGUUGUGAAACUUUGCGGCUCAACCGUAAAAUUGCAGUUGAUACUGGAUAUCUUGAGUGCAGUUGAGGCAGGCGGAAUUCGUGGUGUAGCGGUGAAAUGCUUAGAUAUCACGAAGAACUCCGAUUGCGAAGGCAGCCUGCUAAGCUGCAACUGACAUUGAGGCUCGAAAGUGUGGGUAUCAAACAGGAUUAGAUACCCUGGUAGUCCACACGGUAAACGAUGAAUACUCGCUGUUUGCGAUAUACAGCAAGCGGCCAAGCGAAAGCGUUAAGUAUUCCACCUGGGGAGUACGCCGGCAACGGUGAAACUCAAAGGAAUUGACGGGGGCCCGCACAAGCGGAGGAACAUGUGGUUUAAUUCGAUGAUACGCGAGGAACCUUACCCGGGCUUAAAUUGCAGAUGAAUUACGGUGAAAGCCGUAAGCCGCAAGGCAUCUGUGAAGGUGCUGCAUGGUUGUCGUCAGCUCGUGCCGUGAGGUGUCGGCUUAAGUGCCAUAACGAGCGCAACCCUUGUUGUCAGUUACUAACAGGUUCCGCUGAGGACUCUGACAAGACUGCCAUCGUAAGAUGUGAGGAAGGUGGGGAUGACGUCAAAUCAGCACGGCCCUUACGUCCGGGGCUACACACGUGUUACAAUGGGGGGUACAGAGGGCCGCUACCACGCGAGUGGAUGCCAAUCCCCAAAACCUCUCUCAGUUCGGACUGGAGUCUGCAACCCGACUCCACGAAGCUGGAUUCGCUAGUAAUCGCGCAUCAGCCACGGCGCGGUGAAUACGUUCCCGGGCCUUGUACACAC
rnacentral:rRNA from 1 species